GUUUCGAUGAACAAUAUCGAAAGAACACAACCGCAGACAAUAGCAUACACAAAAAGGAAAAACACCAACAAGACUCAAACCAGUCCACUGUACAUAACACAGAAAAACUAAAGAUUGUUCAACAUGAAAACCUGGUUGUUAUGUCUGGCUCGUGGGUGAGGUAGUUUUUUAAAUCAACCUCUGAUUUUCAGAAACAGUACAGAGAACACAAUGGUUUACAGAAGACAAAAAUAAUUAACCAAUUAAAUCGAACUUCAGUUAAUGUUUAUCUUUAAAUUAACAACAGAAC
rnacentral:lncRNA from 1 species